GCGGAUAGCAGUAAGGCGGGUUGUUACAUGUGCAAAUAUGUGAUUUCAUGUUCUGUGUCUGACGCUUGGUCCGAUUUCCUGGUAAUGUUUAUGGGGUCAUUGAUUCUGAUGCUCCUUAUUCUAAGGCCGGAAGUAGGGUCGGUGCCCCCUAUUCUGUGGCCGGGCGCUGGGCCGAUCAUAUGAUGAGUUAUGAUUGACAGC
rnacentral:misc_RNA from 1 species